UGCAGAUUGGCAAUCCCUCAAUUCUGGGAGGCCUCAUCACCACUUAAAAAGGGACGGUCAACAUAAUCGUAUUGGCUGGCCCCCCUGCGGGAGAGGCAUGUCAUGCAGCAAAAUAAUUCUGCUGAUGCUGCUUGAAUCAUUUCCCCAAACAGAGUGAGCUGCAGCGACAGCCACCCUUCUUUGCCAGUGUACCGCCACGUACUACUUAAGCCUUUGCUAGCCAAGCCAUGUUGGUUCAGGCGGGGAAACAGACUGCCUGGAGGCUUCUCGGUAAUGCAGGCGUGCUGAAAGUUGGUGCCCCAGGGAGAGAAGGCAGAGCUGGACAAAACGUGGACCCUUUUUGCCACGCGGUGAGGGAAACAGACAUGAAAUGAAAGACUCUCAUGCACAGAGCUGUUGCUGGUUGAUGUUGCUGGUUUAUGCAGCCUUGAAAGAAAUGGUUCCCCCCUGACGAGACGGGCACAACUUGCUGGAUGCUACGGGCC
rnacentral:lncRNA from 1 species